GGCGAGAGCUUAGCAUCAAAUAGGUUUAGACCUCACAAAGGCAUUCGUGACAACAAACAGGAAGUAAAAUGUACAGAUAUGUAACAAUAUGUACAGAUAUGUAACAUGUACAGAUAUGUAACAAUAUGAGACAUUACUACAGUAUGUCUGUAUUUACAAGGUCGACUGCAUUAUGCAGUAUAGAAAAUUGGUCUACUUGUAAAUGUUACCCACAAGGAAUGAUCCAUGGGAAUGAGGAAGCAACCCAAGAACCCAGUUUCUUGGAAGGCCAGUCUUUGAUGAUUAAAAGGGCAGGUACCACACUGUAUGCAUAAGGAGCUCCCCUUUCUGGGCCCGUGACAUUUCCCGCCAAAUCUGAAGUCCCUACUGUGAAGGAACUGUGAAAUACUGACUCCAGAUCCAGGUUUUCUUGUCUUCUGGAAACACAGAGCGGCUCCACUCCCAGACUGCAGCAGACUUCUCCUCCCUGCACAUUCAACCCCUGUAUUCUAACCACGGGUGCGAUUCCAAACUCUUACUAUACUUAUGGCCUUGUUCCUUGCACUAUGCUAAAACCUUAGGUUAACUAUGCUGUCCAUAUUCUGCACAUUCAUGUCUCUUAAAUAAAUACAUACUUUUUAUAUUGGAGAUUUCAAAUUGCCUACAAAGCAUGUCACACACAUGGUGAGGACUAGUCAAGUAUGAAAUAGUAUAGAGUAAAAGUGUUUCAAGGCAGACAAACUGACCUAAAUUUACAGACAAUUGUUUUUCAUUGUUAGGACUUCACUAAUGAUUGUAUUUGCUCCAUCUUGUCAAGGUGGAUCUGCCAUUUAUGUAAUCCAUUGAUCUACAGACAAGAAUUAAUUAUGGAACUCAGCAACUUCUGUCAAAAU
rnacentral:lncRNA from 1 species